rnacentral:rRNA from 1 species
AACGAACGCUGGCGGCAGGCUUAACACAUGCAAGUCGAGCGCCCCGCAAGGGGAGCGGCAGACGGGUGAGUAACGCGUGGGAAUCUACCCAUCUCUACGGAAUAACGCAUGGAAACGUGUGCUAAUACCGUAUACGUCCUUCGGGAGAAAGAUUUAUCGGAGAUGGAUGAGCCCGCGUUGGAUUAGCUAGUUGGUGGGGUAAAGGCCUACCAAGGCGACGAUCCAUAGCUGGUCUGAGAGGAUGAUCAGCCACACUGGGACUGAGACACGGCCCAGACUCCUACGGGAGGCAGCAGUGGGGAAUAUUGGACAAUGGGCGCAAGCCUGAUCCAGCCAUGCCGCGUGAGUGAUGAAGGCCCUAGGGUUGUAAAGCUCUUUCACCGGUGAAGAUAAUGACGGUACCAGCAGAAGAAGCCCCGGCUAACUCCGUGCCAGCCGCCGCCGUAAGAC